AAACACGGAUGCUCAGUAACGGCGAGUGAAGCGGCAAAAGCUCAAAUUUGAAAUCUACACCUUCGGUGUUCGAGUUGUAAUUUGAAGAUGGUAACCUUGGGUUUGGCUCUUGUCUAUGUUCCUUGGAACAGGACGUCAUAGAGGGUGAGAAUCCCGUCUGAUGAGAUGCCCAUUCCUAUGUAAGGUGCUAUCGAAGAGUCGAGUUGUUUGGGAAUGCAGCUCUAAGUGGGUGGUAAAUUCCAUCUAAAGCUAAAUAUUGGCGAGAGACCGAUAGCGAACAAGUACAGUGAUGGAAAGAUGAAAAGAACUUUGAAAAGAGAGUGAAAAAGUACGUGAAAUUGUUGAAAGGGAAGGGCAUUAGAUCAGACUUGGUGUUUUACGAUUAUCUUCUCUUCUUGAGUUGUGCACUCGUAUUUCACUGGGCCAGCAUCGAUUCGGAUGGCAAGAUAAUGGCAGUUGAAUGUGGCUUCACUUCGGUGGAGUGUUAUAGCUUCUGCUGAUAUUGCCUGUCUGGAUCGAGGGCUGCGUCUUUUGACUAGGAUGCUGGCGUAAUGAUCUAAUGCCGCCCGUCUUGAAACAC
rnacentral:rRNA from 1 species